rnacentral:miRNA from 1 species
UACCUCAUCAACCAGAAGGAAUCCCUUCUGGUUGAUGAGGUUGUUAUACCUCAUCAACCAGAAGGAAUCCCUUCUGGUUGAUGAGGUU